UGUGCUGGGGUAUGGCAGGGGUGGGGGGGGGGGAGGCCCUGAGGGGUGGGAUGGAAUUGGUUGCUCAAGGCAGAAAGAGGCACCUCAAGGGCUAGGGGGUAAGAGGCAGUGACAAGCCAAUCCCAGAGAACUGUUGUGAGCCUGUGACUGAGGGAAGAGGGUCCCUUGCCUUGGGUUACCUGAUGUGUCUGAGCAAAGGGAGCACCAAGGGACCCUCUAGUCAAGGGGCCAGUGCCCUGGCCCACCAAGGGAUCUGCUAGCACCGGUGAGCCAGGCACCCCUCAGCUCCCGGCUUGGGGGUUCCUGCAGUCUCGUUCACUGGCUGUAGGCUCACAGUGUGCUUUGGUUUAGAAACUUUUAGAAUUUUUAGGUUGCUUGUUGGAUUCCAAAGCAGGCGCUUCUGGCUGCUCCCUCACUCUUCUUUCUUUUUCACUCACACAUGUUCUUUUUGUGGCUCUUGUCUGUCAGACAUUCUUUCUCUUCCUCUCUCUCUCUCUUUCUCUCUCUCUCUCUCUCUCUCUCUCUCCCUCCCUCCCUCCCUCCCUCCCUCCCUCCCCCCUCCUUCCCCUCUCCUCCUCCCUCUCCCCCUCUCCCCGAGGAAGGAAAAAAUUCAGACUCUCACAAACAAAAUAUCUGCCAUUCCAUCUGAGGGAGAACUGAGGCAGGAGCCCAGAAUAUCCUGGAAGAAACGCCAGAGAGAGCUGAAGGCCUCAGUUGUUUAAUCUGGAAGGCGGUCUUUGAUGUCACCGGGCUCCGUUUAUCCUGGGAGGCUGCCUGCUUCUUUAUGGCUGGCUUCAGACUCUCCACAUGAAGAAUGGCCGAGAGCCUUCAGGGGCCGGAGGAAAAGCCUGAUCACUCCCCGAAGGGCAGGCCUGAGGAUGCUGCCCCUCCUGCCAAGCCCAGAUGGCAAAACUGAGGUUCUGAGCGACAGGGUCCCUUCUUCCAGGCCAGGAUCUAGCAGCGGAGCUCGGCCUAGGACCCGAACUCAGGAGUGCCGUGCUCAUCCUGCCUCCCCGCUGCCUCUCCGGCCCCCGUGUUCCUGCCUGUCAAAUGGGCGCACUCCGCUUACCUCGGCCACGUCCUGGGCACACAGCGCUCGCUCGGGGAGCGGGACUGAGGCUUGGGAAGCCGCGUGUGAGUCACCCCUCCCGAGUGAGGGGUGAGGGGUGAGCUCCUCGGAGUCAGGGCUUGGGGCUGAGGUGGCCUGGGAGGGCCUGUUUGGUUUGGUUGACAUUUCCGAGAGAUGCCGGGCCUCACUGGUGCCCCUGGCUGAGCAGACCCAGCCGUCUCCCCCCAGGGACUAAAUUUAGGAUUCCUCGGCUCUUGGCUGGGCCUCCUCUUGUUUUUGGAAAGUCUCCAUUUUGUUCCUCCUGCUGCCUGCGGGCGGCCGAAGCCCAGCCCCAGCCAGAUGACUGGCCUGCCCGCGCCGCACUCACGCUCUGGCCUGAAUUGAUCUUGUCGGAGUUAAUUAGCAGCUGGUCCUGCAGGCCUGGCCUCCAGCAGGCGGGAGGAGCCGGCUGGGGGUGUGCCAGGAGCCAGGGGGUCCCCGCCCCACACCCCUGCUUCUGCUGCCGCCUCAGGCAGAGGCCCUCUGGAGGGAGGCUCUGGGGUUUUCUUUGGCACUUGGUGAGCAAAUGGCUCCCUCUCCCUUUUCUUCUGAGCCCUGUAAAAAUAAAAAGUUAAAAGACCCUCAA